GCUCACUGCAACCUCCGCCUCCCGGGUUCAAACGAUUCUCUUGCCUCAGCCUCCCGAGUAGCUGGGAUGAGAGGCGCCCACCACCACGCCCUGCUAAAUUUUUUUGUAUUUUUAGUAGAGACAGGGUUUCACCAUGUUGGCCAGGCUGGUCUUGAACUCCUGACCUCAGGUGAUCUAUCCGUCUCGGCCUCCCGAAGUACUGGGAUUAUAGGUGUGAGCCACCGUGCCUGGCCAAAAGGUUAAUUUUUAAUGAGAAAGCCAAUAUGUAUUUCCUAACUAGUUCCCCUUCCCUGGGAACAGAACACAGUGUUAUUCUGGAAUGUUAUUUGGAAAAUAUUAUAAUUUAUUGUUGUGGCUUGAUCAGGAUGUAUCCAAGACAAAUUGUCCUAUGAAGUGUGAUGCUUUUAUCCUCAUAUAACUUAUUUCCUCAGUGAAAUUUCUGCCUUGGCACUGCCAUAUCACCCCUUCAUAACUCAUAAAUCACCCACAGUCAAUCUCAGUUGACAUAAACAGUUUGCUAAUGGUAGGAAUUCGUGUUUUAAGUAGAUAUACUAUUCUUAAGCAUAUUUUCAGUUCAAAAUCUGACUGAUAUUUUGGCCUGAGACAUCAAUAAAAUAUUGUGAACGUAGAAAGGAUAGAAAAAAGGGGAGCUAACUCUCUACAAAACUGUAUGCUUGCCCUUACGGCAGCUAGAAUGAAAUGUUGUCACUCUCACUUCCAUAAACUUGCCAAUUGCUGUUUUUCUUUCUCUGUAGUGAAGUAAGAAUUCUGCUAGAGAGGAAAUGGCUGCUUCAUCAUCAUCCUCCUCAGCUGGUGGGGUCAGUGGAAGUUCUGUCACUGGAUCUGGUUUCAGUGUCUCAGACCUUGCCCCACCACGGAAAGCCCUUUUCACCUACCCCAAAGGAGCUGGAGAGAUGUUAGAAGAUGGCUCUGAGAGAUUCCUCUGCGAAUCUGUUUUUAGCUAUCAAGUGGCAUCCACGCUUAAACAGGUGAAACAUGAUCAGCAAGUUGCUCGGAUGGAAAAACUAGCUGGUUUGGUAGAAGAGCUGGAGGCUGACGAGUGGCGGUUUAAGCCCAUCGAGCAGCUGCUGGGAUUCACCCCCUCUUCGGGUUGAUGCUGCCUGGAUGGUCACCUCUGGUGUGCAGCUAGUGCAAAGCCAGUGGGGGACUUUCUCACAGCUUACAUAGCCAUCCAGAGAUCCACAGCUACAUCGCUGAAUUGUUAAUGCACAUUUGUACUUGGUUUCUCUGUAUCUAUUCACAGUCAACAAAUACUUAUAUGUGUGAUCUUUCAGGGAAUAUUUUGUUUAUUUGUUUUUAAAAGUAUUGGGAAUCAGAUUAAGACAGUCGGUUUCAGAGAACCAGGAGGUUUGGGGUUAAGAGAUACUUAAAAAUUUUCACAAGCCAGGUAGGGCAUAUAUCAGAUUUGGCCAACUGAAUGGCAUCUGUCCUGUCAUCCAUAUGGUGCCUGGAAAUAUUUACCAGUCAAGGUCAAGGUCAGCAUCUGUGGUUAAAAAUACAGCAUUCUGACCUAAAAAAGUUAUUUUGCAGAUGAAUGUGAUUUCACCUCAGGACCUAUCCAAAUGAGGAAUUUUUAAAUAUUCAUUUUUUUUUCCUAUUUUUAGACAUCAAUUCUAUAGAUUCUAACUUUUUCUAACCUCUUCUAGACAUGCCAAGUGCUGGCAAAAAGAAGUGCUUUUCGGAUAUGGCAGCACUUGUAAAAAUAAAGCAGUAAGCAAAAUCCUUUUAAACCCAGAAAUCCUGAGUUCUUCUCAUUGGUGGACUCAAGCAAUUCUGUAGCAAAUAAAUCCUUUGAAAGAGCUCCAAA
rnacentral:sRNA from 1 species